rnacentral:rRNA from 1 species
UACGUAGGGUGCAAGCGUUGGCCGGAAUUAUUGGGCGUAAAGAGCUCGUAGGCGGUUUGUCGCGUCUGGUGUGAAAACUCGGGGCUUAACCCCGGGCCUGCAGUGGGUACGGGCAGACUAGAGUGCGGUAGGGGAGACUGGAAUUCCUGGUGUAGCGGUGAAAUGCGCAGAUAUCAGGAGGAACACCGGUGGCGAAGGCGGGUCUCUGGGCUGACACUGACGCUGAGGCGCGAAGGCUAGGGGAGCAAACAGG